CCCAAACCGUGGGUUAAUCAAUUCCCCCAUCUUCUCUUUCUCUAGCGAGAAGAGAGACCUACCGUCUUCUCACUUCUCUCAUUGACCUCCAAUUCCACCCACCAAUGGCGCAACCGCAGCCACAGGUCGCCACCACCACUGCCGUCUCGAUCCUAUUUCUCGUGGCCGAGGUUGUUUUCUCUGGCGAGGCAACCGCCAUCGUCCUCCAACCAUCCCACGGCGGCAGCAAUCGCCACACCAUGUUCCUCUCCCUCUUUCUCUCUCCUCCUCCUAGCAGCUCUUCCGGCAACUCCUCUCCCUCUGUCUGCCACCAGAUUCAGGGAUCCGACCCUCUCCACCUUAACGCUCGCAUGCUCCUCUAUGACGAUCUCCUUCUCAACGAAAAUGCACAGAGGUUGCGGUCAAAUCUUUAAAGGAUGUUGCGAACAGUCCAUAUGCACCUGAGUAUGACAUCUCUGGGAUUACAGAUCCUUUUCUCCAUAUCAGAUUACUCAGGUUUUUGUGCAUAUUGGGUCAUGGAGAUACAGAUGCUAGCGAUUGCAUGAACGACAUUCUUGCUCAGGUUGCAACAAAAACAGAGUCGAACAAAAAUGUCGGGAAUGCCAUUUUAUAUGAAUGUGUUGAAACAAUUAUGAGCAUUGAAGAUAACAGCGGCUUGCGGGUGCUUGCCAUGAAUAUUUUGGGAAGAUUCCUGUCAAACCGUGACAACAAUAUGAGCAUUAAAUUUAUGCAUACCCCUUGACUAUGGUGCAUUCUUGUUAUCUUGACUUUGCUUAUACAUUUUUCAGGAUUCAGAUGUUUCUAUUCGGAAAAGGGCCCUUGAACUUGUGUAUCUUCUUGUAAAUGAAAGCAAUGUAAAGUCUCUGACAAAAGAGCUUAUUGAAUAUCUGGAAGUAAGUGAUCAAGAUUUCGAAGGAGAUCUUACUGCCAAAAUUUGCUCCAUUGUUGAAAAAGCGGUCGCAGCUGAAGUUUGUAAAGAGCUAUUUACUCUCAUUCCCCUGCAUGCUGAGCUUGCGUUGAAUGGCGUUGAAGUGUUUAUGAAUACUAGUGGAAGUCAUCACCAACUACGAAAGCUUGACCUUCGCCUUCGUGCUUUUAUAGGUGUUACACAUAGUCGUGGAGGAGUUUACAUGUACAGUAAUCACCAAGGAUAUGAUGGUGGCCGCCUUUAUUAUGAUGGAUGUUGUUGUGUUGUUGUGAAUGGGGAUGUGGUUGCUCAAGGCUCACAAUUUUCUUCGAAGGAUGUUGAGGUGGUGGUUGCUCAAAUAGAUCUAGAUGCGAUGGUUUUUGACGUACAAAUGUGGAUAUGACUUUUUUUGACAAGUACGGAAGGAUAUUAUUUUUAUAUCUCCGUCCGUAUAUAUAAUGGUUCAUACAAAUUAGUUUUUUGGAGUGGUAAAUAUCCAAAAUUUGGCCCGAUAGAAAUUAGCAUUGGACGUGGUACAAAUUAGUUUUUGGAGCAGUACAGAAUAAAUUUUUGGUGUGGUAUAGAUUUCUUUUUGGAUAUUAAAUUUGGUUAAUCUUCUAUUAUGUAUGGAAUUGAAUUAUUGGGGUUGAAUUAUACUUGGUUCGUAUGGAAUUUGUAUUAAAUUUAGAAUUGGACGUUGAAUAUAAUUUUUUUUGAUGGUUGGAAGUGAAA